GGCAGCUCGCUUCUUUUGUUAAGAGGCUGAUUGCUCCUUAGGGCGAAUUGUAUUUAGCGGCCGCGAAUUCGCCCUUAGAGUUUGAUCCUGGCUGAGCGAUUAACGCUAGCGGCAGGCCUAACACAUGCAAGUCGAACGGUAAGUUGAGAGCUUGCUCUUAACACGAGUGGCGAACGGGUGCGUAACGCGUAUGCAAUCUGCCCUUUUCUGGAAGAUAGCCCUUAGAAAUGAGGAUUAAUACUCCAUAGUAUAACAAUUUCGCAUGUUAUUGUUAUUAAAGCUUCGGCGGAAAAGGAUGAGCAUGCGUCCCAUUAGUUAGUUGGUAGGGUAACGGCCUACCAAGACUCCGAUGGGUAGGGGGCCUGAGAGGGUUAUCCCCCACACUGGUACUGAGACACGGACCAGACUCCUACGGGAGGCAGCAGUGAGGAAUAUUGGUCAAUGGAGGCAACUCUGAACCAGCCAUGCCGCGUGCAGGAUGACGGCCCUAUGGGUUGUAAACUGCUUUUAUAUAGGAAGAAACCUCUCUACGUGUAGAGAGCUGACGGUACUAUAAGAAUAAGGACCGGCUAACUCCGUGCCAGCAGCCGCGGUAAUACGGAGGGUCCAAGCGUUAUCCGGAUUUAUUGGGUUUAAAGGGUACGUAGGCGGAAAAUUAAGUCAGUAGUGAAAGCCCAUCGCUCAACGAUGGAACUGCUAUUGAUACUGGUUUUCUUGAAUAUACUUGAAGUGGGCGGAAUACGACAUGUAGCGGUGAAAUGCAUAGAGAUGUCGUAGAACACCGAUUGCGAAGCAGCUCACUAAGUAUUAUUGACGCUAAUGUACGAAAGCGUGGGGAGCGAACAGGAUUAGAUACCCUAUAGUCCACGCCGUAAACUAUGAUUACUCGGUGUCAGCGAUAUACUGUCGUGCCUAAGCGAAAGUGAUAAGUAAUCCACCUGGGGAGUACGAUCGCAAGGUUGAAACUCAAGGAUUUGACGGGGGCCCGCACAAGCGGUGGAGUAUGUGGUUUAUUUCGAUGAUACGCGAGGACCUUACCUGGGCUUAAAUGCAAAAUGACUUUAUCGGAACGAUAUUCUCUUCGAACAGUCUGCAAGUGCUGCAUGCGUCCUCACCUCGUGCUGGUGAGGUGUCCGGUUAUUCCAUAACAAGCGCACCCUAUUUUUAGUUGCAGCGAGUAUGUCGGGAACUCUAGAACUGCCUGAACGUGAAGAAAGGGGCAACUCCGUCUCCGCCUUAGUUCCAGGGAUACACAGGUUCUUCAUUGGUGGCGAGCGCAAGAGGCAAC
rnacentral:rRNA from 1 species